AUUGAACGCUGGCGGAAUGCUUUACACAUGCAAGUCGAACGGCAGCACGGGGCAACCUGGUGGCGAGUGGCGAACGGGUGAGUAAUAUAUCGGAACGUGCCCAAUCGUGGGGGAUAACGUAGCGAAAGUUACGCUAAUACCGCAUACGAUCUACGGAUGAAAGCGGGGGAUCGCAAGACCUCGCGCGAAUGGAGCGGCCGAUAUCAGAUUAGGUAGUUGGUGGGGUAAAGGCUCACCAAGCCAACGAUCUGUAGCUGGUCUGAGAGGACGACCAGCCACACUGGAACUGAGACACGGUCCAGACUCCUACGGGAGGCAGCAGUGGGGAAUUUUGGGACAAUGGGCGCAAGCCUGAUCCAGCCAUUCCGCGUGCAGGAUGAAGGCC
rnacentral:rRNA from 1 species